AAGCGCAGCACCGGAUCUGACCUGCCUCGUCAUCACUGGAGUGAGCCCGGUGGCCGCCAGCCUCUUCCUCCUGGCCUUCCUCUGCUAUAGACGAACCCGAGGAAAUGCCCUUGUGGGUGAACAGAAGCAGCUGGAUGUCCUGUCCCAGGAGCCCGACCCUGGUGCCGAUGGACUCACCUAUGCCGAGCUGGAGGCGCUGCAGGCCAAGUGAGGGGGCCCAGCCCCUGCCACCGAGCCCGUCCUGUACGCUGCCAUCAAUGUGAGCAGGGGGUCCGAUGGGCAAAGCCCCAGGGAUGCAGGGGCCCUCCCUGCCCACACCUGUAGCAUGAACCAAGGGGAAGUCAUUGGAGAGAUGGGGUAGGA